rnacentral:rRNA from 1 species
AGUGGGAAAUUGGACAAUGGGCGCAAGCCUGAUCCAGCCUGCCGCGUGAGUGAAGAAGGCCUUAGGGUCGUAAAGCUCUUUCACCUGUGAUGAUAAUGACAGUAUCUGGAAAAGAAACCCCGGCUAACUUCGUGCCAGCAGCCGCGGUAAUA